rnacentral:rRNA from 1 species
UACGUAGGGUGCGAGCGUUAAUCGGAAUUACUGGGCGUAAAGCGUGCGCAGGCGGCUUUGCAAGUCAGAUGUGAAAUCCCCGGGCUUAACCUGGGAACUGCAUUUGUGACUGCAUGGCUGGAGUGCGGCAGAGGGGGAUGGAAUUCCGCGUGUAGCAGUGAAAUGCGUAGAUAUGCGGAGGAACACCGAUGGCAAAGGCAAUCCCCUGGGCGUGCACGGAGGUUCAUGCAGGAAAGCGUGGGAGCAAACAGG